GAUGAACGCUGGCGGCGUGCCUAAUACAUGCAAGUCGAGCGAACAGACGAGGAGCUUGCUCCUCUGACGUUAGCGGCGGACGGGUGAGUAACACGUGGAUAACCUACCUAUAAGACUGGGAUAACUUCGGGAAACCGGAGCUAAUACCGGAUAAUAUAUUGAACCGCAUGGUUCAAUAGUGAAAGACGGUUUUGCUGUCACUUAUAGAUGGAUCCGCGCCGCAUUAGCUAGUUGGUAAGGUAACGGCUUACCAAGGCAACGAUGCGUAGCCGACCUGAGAGGGUGAUCGGCCACACUGGAACUGAGACACGGUCCAGACUCCUACGGGAGGCAGCAGUAGGGAAUCUUCCGCAAUGGGCGAAAGCCUGACGGAGCAACGCCGCGUGAGUGAUGAAGGUCUUCGGAUCGUAAAACUCUGUUAUUAGGGAAGAACAAAUGUGUUAGUAACUAUGCACGUCUUGACGGUACCUAAUCAGAAAGCCACGGCUAACUACGUG
rnacentral:rRNA from 1 species